AUUGAACGCUGGCGGCAUGCCUUACACAUGCAAGUCGAGCGGCAGCACGGGUGCUUGCACCUGGUGGCGAGUGGCGAACGGGUGAGUAAUACAUCGGAACAUGUCCUGUAGUGGGGGAUAGCCCGGCGAAAGCCGGAUUAAUACCGCAUACGAUCUACGGAUGAAAGCGGGGGACCUUCGGGCCUCGCGCUAUAGGGUUGGCCGAUGGCUGAUUAGCUAGUUGGUGGGGUAAAGGCCUACCAAGGCGACGAUCAGUAGCUGGUCUGAGAGGACGACCAGCCACACUGGGACUGAGACACGGCCCAGACUCCUACGGGAGGCAGAAGUGGGGAAUUUUGGACAAUGGGCGAAAGCCUGAUCCAGCAAUGCCGCGUGUGUGAAGAAGGCCUUCGGGUUGUAAAGCACUUUUGUCCGGAAAGAAAUCCUUGGCCCUAAUACGGUCGGGGGAUGACGGUACCGGAAGAAUAAGCACCGGCUAACUACGUG
rnacentral:rRNA from 1 species